GCUGGGUGCGGAGGUGCACACCUGUAAUCCCAGCGGCUCAGGAGGCUGAGGCAGGAGGAUCACAAAUUCAAAGGCAGCCUCGGCAGCUUAGCAAGGCCCUAAGCAACUCAGUGAGACCCUGUCUCUA
rnacentral:sRNA from 1 species